GCCGGGUUUGUCGUUUGCACGAGUGUCGACAGUGUGUUUAAGACAUUCCUGCGUUGGACGGCAUGUUGGAAAAAGGAAAGAGCCACAACCUCCGAUACAACAAGCGUUCUCGUCCAUCCAGUCGGACGAGUCGGUCGUGUUGUAAAAGCUUAAUCACUUAUCAACUCGAUUCACAAGUCAAGUGCUGCUCACUUUAAUGGUCUCACCGCACUACCAGGCAGCAUGUCAUCCUCCGUGCUGCUCUACGGCCUCCCCUGAUGGUGCCCAACCCCAGAGGUCAGGGGUCAACAGGACAGGGGCGGCUGGGGAGGUAAAUGGAUGGAGGAGGUCGGAGGAGAAAUAUGUGGAAGUCCAAAGCAGAAAGCUGUUCAGCUGUGGCCCACCUCCUGGUCCUGGUUCCAGACUCUGAGUCCCUUCCAUCCGUGGUCCACUCUGGCUCCUCUGGGUUUUCUGUGGUCCUUCUGUGAACUGGAGACGUCCCAGUCUCUGCUGGAUGUGUUCUACAGGCUGCUGCUGGUGUGUUUCUGUUGGAUCAUACUGGGAACCUGCAUCCAUGUAUUAAAGAGUCACCUGAAGAAAGUCCACACACAGGAGAAACCUCCAGAGGAAACACAAGAGAUUGUUGUGUUUAAAAACAGGAACAAGUUACAAUCAUGUAUACCUGUACAGCCGCCACAGAGACCCGGUGUGUCCCUGGUCCUCACUCUGGCCCUGGCAGACAGCCUGCUGCUGUGUGUGCUGCAGGAGCACCUGCAACCCCCCAACCUCACCCAUAUCCAGGCUCUGCUCUCUAAUCUGGAGUCAGUGGCUCACACACUGGACGAGGCUGGAAUCAGGAAAGGCUCGAGGACCCUGGAUGUGGAUGAAGAAUCGAACGUUCUAACGGAUAAACUGAAUCUGCUCUGCAGCUAUCUACAACAGAGGACGACGUCUCUUCAAACGCUCGUGUGUGUUCAGGCAGAAUUUGAAGCCGGUGUGAAGGACCUGCAGCAGAACCUGGAAAACAUGUGGACUGAACUGGAGAAGCUGCACACAGGGGUCACGUUUACCAAGGAGGGGGGUCAGGGUCCGGUUACCGUGGAAACGGCUCAGACUAACACAGAGACUCUGUUUGAGGCGUUAGAACGCUACAGGACCAAACUGGACUCGUGUCGGACCGACCUGAAGGACAGCACCACGCUGCUGCAGGAGCUGUCAUGGAGUCACAGUCACAUCAGCACCAGAGUGAACAGCAGCAGUGAGUCGCCGUGGCCUGAGAUUCUGCUUCAGUCCAACAUGGAGCAGUUUGACAAGGUGGAGGAGAGCUUUGUGGCUGUGGAGCAGCAGACGUCCACCUUCCAGGCUCACCUGGAGGGCCUCAGGGAAGCUCAUUCAAAGGAAGACGAGGAACCGCUGAAUAAGAGCGAGGACUCAAUGUCACAGACUACUCAGUGUGACCACAACAGGGCCACACCACCCCAGUCACUGCAGCCAUCCACCUCCACCUCUUCUAAGUCCUCCUCAUCCUCAGUGAAAACAGGCAAAGACACUAAACAAGGUGCUUCUCUAUCACUGAGGGAAAGGACAGCUCUGCACUUCUCCAGCAUCAACCGUCUGCGCAUGCCCAGGUGGAAGAAGUGAUGUUUUUAAACGUCGCAGAUGUUGAUCAUUUGCUGUUUGAAACGACAAUAUUUAUUGAUUUUUGUGCGUUGAUUUGUUGUUGACUUGUUUGUGUGUUAAUAUAAAGCUGAAAAUCAAACCAUGUGUUUCAUUAUCCUCUGUAAAGCAGGGCUGUCAAACUCGGUUUGACUCAGGGGCCAAAUAUGAUUUAGUUUUAAUCACAAGUGUGACACAGAUAUUAUGUCUUAUUUUGCACUUCCACGUGUAAAUGAUUUACAAAUCCAAACAAUAUCUCAUAGAUUUCAGUCCCGGCAGUUCUCAUUAUUUUUUAUAGAAUCUUUAUUUAUUUAUUUUUAUUUAUCCUGCCUUAUCGGCACAUGCCAUCACACUAUUCAGUGCAAACUUUUUGUGACACUUGUGCAUUUUUUAUUCUUGCAAAAAAGGAAAAAUAAUACACUUAUAUUAUUGAGUGAUUGUGACCAUCUUU
ensembl:lncRNA uncharacterized LOC114474572